GGAGAGAUGGCCGAGUGGUCGAAGGCGCAACAUUGGAAAUGUUGUAUAGGGGUAACUCUAUCGCGGGUUCAAAUCCCGCUCUCUCCGCCA
rnacentral:tRNA from 1 species